rfam:Myotis lucifugus cont2.45191, whole genome shotgun sequence.
GCCGGUGUUGCUAAGUGAUUAGAGUGUUGGCCUGAGCGCCAAAGGGUCGCAGGUUCAAUUCCUGGUCAAGGGCA